rnacentral:rRNA from 1 species
AAUGCCGCGUGUGUGAAGAAGGCCUGCGGGUUGUAAAGCACUUUAAGCAGGAAAGAAGGUCGGGUUGAUAAUACCAAUCUGAAUUGACGUUACCUGCAGAAUAAGCACCGGCUAACUCCGUGCCAGCAGCCGCGGUAAUACGGAGGGUGCGAGCGUUAAUCGGAAUUACUGGGCGUAAAGCGCACGUAGGCGGCGCGUUAAGUCUUCUGUGAAAGCCCUGGGCUUAACCUGGGAACGGCAGGAGAAACUGGCGAGCUAGAGUGUCGGAGAGGGUAGUGGAAUUUCCGGUGUAGCAGUGAAAUGCGUAGAGAUCGGAAGGAACACCUGUGGCGAAGGCGGCUACCUGGACGAACACUGACGCUGAGGAGCGAAAGCGUGGGGAGCAAACAGGAUUAGAUACCCUGGUAGUCCACGCGGUAAACGAUGAGAACUAGCCGUUGGGCACGAUUGAGUGCUGAGUGGCGAAGCUAACGCGAUAAGUUCUCCGCCUGGGGAGUACGGCCGCAAGGUUAAAACUCAAAUGAAUUGACGGGGGCCCGCACAAGCGGUGGAGCAUGUGGUUUAAUUCGAUGCAACGCGAAGAAACCUUACUGGCCUUGACAUGUCGCGAAUCCCUGAGAGAUGGGGAGUGCUUCGGGAA